rnacentral:rRNA from 1 species
CCGGCGACCGGCGCACGGGUGAGUAACACGUAUGCGACCUGCCCUCUUCAGGGGGACAACCUUCCGAAAGGGAGGCUAAUCCCGCGUAUAUCGGUUUCGGGCAUCCGAGAUCGAGGAAAGAUUCAUCGGAAGAGGAUGGGCAUGCGGCGCAUUAGCUAGACGGCGGGGUAACGGCCCACCGUGGCGACGAUGCGUAGGGGUUCUGAGAGGAAGGUCCCCCACACUGGUACUGAGACACGGACCAGACUCCUACGGAAGGCAGCAG